rnacentral:rRNA from 1 species
GAGAACUUGGCAGAGAUGCCUUGGUGCCUUCGGGACCUCUGAGACAGGUGCUGCAUGGCUGUCGUCAGCUCGUGUUGUGAAAUGUUCGGGUUAAGUCCCGCAACGAGCGCAACCCCUAUCCUUUGUUGCCAGCGAUUCGGUCGGGAACUCAAAGGAGACUGCCGGUGAUAAACCGGAGGAAGGUGGGGAUGACGUCAAGUCAUCAUGGCCCUUACGAGUAGGGCUACACACGUGCUACAAUGGCGCAUACAAAGAGAAGCGACCUCGCGAGAGCAAGCGGACCUCAUAAAGUGCGUCGUAGUCCGGAUCGGAGUCUGCAACUCGACUCCGUGAAGUCGGAAUCGCUAGUAAUCGUAGAUCAGAAUGCUACGGUGAAUACGUUCCCGGGCCUUGUACACACCGCCCGUCACACCAUGGGAGUGGGUUGCAAAAGAAGUAGAUAGCUUAACCUUCGGGAGGGCGUUUACCACUUUGUGAUUCAUGACUGGGGUGAAGUCGUAACAAGGUAAGCGUAGCGAG